CCUACGGGAGGCAGCAGUGGGGAAUAUUGGACAAUGGGGGGAACCCUGAUCCAGCGACGCCGCGUGAGUGAAGAAGUAUUUCGGUAUGUAAAGCUCUAUCAGCAGGGAAGAAAGAAAUGACGGUACCUGACUAAGAAGCCGCGGCUAACUACGUGCCAGCAGCCGCGGUACUACGUAGGGGGCAAGCGUUAUCCGGAUUUACUGGGUGUAAAGGGAGCGUAGACGGCGAUGCAAGUCUGAAGUGAAAGGCGGGGGCCCAACCCCCGGACUGCUUUGGAAACUGUAUGGCUGGAGUGCAGGAGAGGUAAGUGGAAUUCCUAGUGUAGCGGUGAAAUGCGUAGAUAUUAGGAGGAACACCAGUGGCGAAGGCGGCUUACUGGACUGUAACUGACGUUGAGGCUCGAAAGCGUGGGGAGCAAACAGGAUUAGAUACCCGGGUAGUC
rnacentral:rRNA from 1 species